rnacentral:lncRNA from 1 species
GUGAUUGACAACAAGGUUUGCAUCUUAAUUUCAAAACUUUCCUUUCUUUGCUAUUUUUGUGGGUUCUACAAUUGUUGUUUUCACUCUCAGCUGCAGUUCAAUGAACUCUAUUAAUAACCAUGAAGCUUAAUGUAUCAAUUCCAAUACGACAAGUCCUUCUACGCAUGUUACAACACUUUUUGGUCAUUAUAGGUUGCAAAUGUUCCGUAAUGUACUCAUUCAUAUAACGGAAACGCUAUUAUCAAUAAUGAAAGUUGACUAAGUUUGUAAAUUCUAUUUAACGAAAAAGUAACAUAAAUUUAGUUGAACAAGAGGUAAUCAAUAUGUAAUCUAUGAAACUAGGGUGUGACUAAGUUACAUAGUAAUGUAACUUACAUGAACACAAAAAUAAUUAGGUUUUAAACUACAAGUAGCUUUGGAACAGCUCUUAAAUUGAUAUAAGUUCUAUUAUUAUGUAACUUAGCAAGGUCAGAUAUUUUAAUAAUAGCACAUCACUAUUGUUUCAUGUGAAUGAUGCAAUUGGAUUAGCCAAUACAUACUGUCAUCCCCGGGAGAUGCUAUGGCAAUAGCUUACUCUACCGUGCCAAUGUCAUUAGUAUUAAUCUGUUGAACCUAAGACCAGAUCUAAGCUGAUCUAGAUUCCCCAAGAUCGCACACCACACAGUGAUUAAUGAAUCAAGAACAAUAAACCAUCAAAGAAUCGCAAACUUACAUAAUUAAACACUUAAAUAAGCUAUCCUUUUAAUUUUUUUUUUACACCCCUCCAGUUUCAUAAUUUAUAUUUAUAAUUUAAAUUUUAAUGGAAAAUAUUUUUUUGAAAAAUUUUAAGAAUUAAGAAUUAUGGGGAUAAAAAUUAUGUAAUAAGAACAAAAUAAUUUAAAAUUUUAAAAUUUGCAUGUAUUAUAAACAAAAACUUGAAAGAAAUACUCUUUUCAGGGUGAAAUUUAAUGAGAAAAAGAUUAAUUUUAAUUUAUGAAUUAGUAUUUUAUAAGUUAAACUGAGGUAUUUCAAGAAAUAGAAUUCAAAAGGCAUGGGAACGAGGGCCUUGGGUUUCAUUUUGUUUUGUAGGAAUUGGGAAAAAUACACGGACAGACAAAGGGAGCAGUCAUUAUAAUGCUGUGAAGCUGGUCGGAGAUACCCUGCCCAUUUGUAGCUUAGACUCCUGGGGUUUUGUUCAUGUCUUUUCUGUAUCCCACUUUCUCAUGCAGCAGAUGUACAUAUGAUGAGAUGAAAACAACAGCAAAAAUUGCUGUCUCAUAAGAGAAAUAGUCAUACAUAGUUGGUUAGGCCUCCUGUCCAUUAACUUAAUAAUGAAUUUUAUGAAAAUUGAUUAUCUCAUUGGAAUUACAUAGAUAUUGGAAAUCAUUACUCCAGCCCCACCAUGCCAACCAUUUACUUAGUUCAUCAGUAAAAGCUGGAUUUUCCAUUUGUUCUUGAGAUUCAAAUUAAGGCAACAAGUUGCUCAUUCUAUAUUAUCUAUGUAAUCCUGUAAAAGUGAAGGGCGUUUAGAUGUGGAAAAACCUUACUCCUGCCGCAACACCUCAAACAGAUUGUGAUCAGACAAGACUUAGUUCAUCAUUAGUAGUAGUUGGAGCUUCCAUUUGUUCUAGAGAUUUAAAGGCAGCAAGCUGCUUCCUCAGUGCUACUAAUUCUUCCCCGGCAUUGUAUAUGUAGCCUGAGGCUUGUCUACCAGACAAAGUUGCUCCUUCCAUACUAUCUAUGUAAUCCAGUGAGAGUGAAACCAUUUAGAAGACGUAUCUCUUUCUUUCCAAUAUUUAGAAUGAAACAAUUAUAUACAGUUACCUGUUUUGUAUAUGAGCCGGCGAGGAAGAAGUUCUUCACUGGUGUCUUUUGAUCGCGUCUGAAGGGGUCUUUACCAGGUCCCUCACCGCACAAAGAUUGCCCGAUUUUGACGAAAGAUGACCAAAUAACUUCUAAACCUUGGGAUGAUAGAAAUAGAGCUAAAACCUAAUAAAAGGAACCGUGAAUGGAUAGUAUGGACUCAUGUAUAUUAUCCAGAAAGUUGCAUGACCUUUUUUGGUACUCAGGUCACUAAAAAAUGUGAGAUAAACAUCUAGGAUAAGAAAAGCAAAAAAGCAUAACCUAAUACAUAUUAUAUGAAUUGAAGGUGUCACUGAACGCUACCAACCUGCUUUGCCACUCUCCUUAUAAUUUCAUCAUUUGGUAAGGGCAUAUAAGGAUCUCCAGGUGUCAAAAUGCAUCUGAAAUAUAAUAUGGCUAUAGUAAGUAACACAGAAUACAAAGACACUUAGCAAAAGGAAGUCAAUCAGAUUCCAUGCACAAAAAAUAACUAAUAAUGACGAGGAUAAGAAAUUUGUCUUGCUGGAGCAACGAACCUUGCCCUUCUCUGUAGUAGUCUUCUGGUGAAGUGAGUGCUAGAUCUGCAAAGCAAGAUAAAUCUGCAUCUGGAGUAUAUGAAAGGUUAUCUAACCCCACAGCUUGCCUCAAUUGUCUACAUGUUCAAAACAAGGAUCUGUUAAAAAAUGGAAAUUUCUUCAAUGCAUUAGUAAAGGGAAGUGAAGUGAAAGCUGAUUUCUUAGGCCUUCACAGAGCAUCAUGUGUUUGAAUUCCGGUAACCUCACAAAAAAUUAGAGCAUCACCUUGACCGUUCUAGGUCUUGCAACUCAGUAACCCAACCAUUGCAUCUAAGCUGCACUGUGACAACGGGAACUCCAACUAGCUCAUAAAUAUUGUUGAAAAUUUUCAUUUCCCUCCACGAUGAUGGAGGCAAUCUUUUAAUUCCAGGGACAUCACAUGCAGCCAUUAAAUAAGAAGUUGAAUAAAGAAAAACCGUUCAACUAAAUGAUUCAGGAGUUAAAAAAAAAAUGUAGAAGUAGAAAUAAAUAACGAAGAUUUAACCAUGAACCUGCAACAUAUGCAUCAGCUUGCACAACCUUCUUGUCAGUGGCCUGAAAUAGAAUGAGAAAUUGAAAGACAGUAAGCAUUAAAGAAUAAACUCAAAGAAGCUGCUUCUAACAGAUGAUAUAAACAAUAAAUUUACAAAUGUCAGUGUUAAGCAAAUAAAAGCACCAGGUCGGCCAUGAUACUAUUUCCACCCCGGCAUGAAUCACCUCAGCCAAAUGGUACGAGCAGAACAGGGGGUAACAUGAGCCGAUCCGAGACGAAUACUGACCAGAGCCAUAUACCGAGCCGGUACCCGUCCCCCAAAAAGUGGAAACACGAUCUCACAGAAUCACGGUAGUUGCGUUUUCCCAGAACCGUUGCGGGAGACGCGAGAUCCCAUGUUUGCCCAUAAUGCAGCAGUUAGAGUCCCAUGAGAGGCUACCACUACCCGAAAAAGGUGGGAUGAAGGGCAAACGGGAACGUGGGGACAGCGGCUAUAAAAGAAGAAGAAAUCGAUGAAGAAGGGGACAGAAAAAUGAAGAGAGGGAAAACGCUGCCAAAUUGCAAUUAGGCAUUUUUUACAAACUUCGAAACAAGUUAGAAACCAUUCUUGAAUCCAAAUUACAUUGUUUUCCCGUAAACACCUUGUGCUAACUUAGGCAUCGGAGGGUUUACGCCGGCAAAACCACCGGCGUCUCUGAUCCGUUUUUGGUGAACGCAGGUCUAGUAGGAGAGAUGAGGGUGAUUCCAACCCCAGUGGUUCGAGCAACAGUUAAUAACACGAACGUUGGUGGAGGAAUCUGGUCGGCCAAAAGGCGAGCAGAUUUAAGCAUCAACAGUCAGAUCAUUGCAUUAGCUCUAUGCCUCCAUCAGAGGGAAUAUUAAUAGAUGCAUAAAAAAAUAAUUAGAACCAUGUGAGAAACAAUUACCUUAGACAUGGCAACUCCUUUGACAUAUGUUUCUCCAUUAGCAGAUUUAUCAUAAAGUAUCUCUCUGCAUCCCCACCUAAGAUGGAACCUGUUCUAGCAAAAACAGACCCCAAGGUUAGGAAAAUCAGUUCAUCAUAGGAGAAAACAAACAAGAUUAACAAAUCACUGCAAUGAUGUGAACCUGUAAAUAGAAAUUUACCUGCCCCCUUUAUCUGUGAUAUGUUUUCGUAUGGGCCCACUCAAAUAAACGUCUGGAGAACCCUUGAGCAUCCGCAAUACAAAAAGGAAUAAAAAUUCUUCUAAAUUCUUUCACCAUCAACAAAAUCAGUAAAACACAUACUAAUUCAAAAUGACAUAAAGUUUGUGAAUUGAAAUAAUGCCAACUCCUAAGAAAAAUUAUGACUGCUGAUAUUUUUUCCGAAAUGCUGAUAAAAGCUUCUGCUAUUUACUUUGAAAAAAUAGAGGUUAGAAGCCAAUUUACUUGAAAUUUUGAGUUUAGGCAAGAGGAUGAAUGGCAAAAGUGAAACAAUUUAGGGAAAAAUGUACUUCAGAGGCCAAUGAAAGCAUUCAGAAGAUUGAAAUCUAAAUAAGCAAAACCCCGUGGCCUUGAUCCAACAAAUCCACUGCUGUUGACAUGCCUGCAAGCCCAGCUCCAAUAAUAGCCACUUUCAGCUUUGGUCCUCUAUAAUGUUCCGGUUCUGGUAGAAACAAACCCUUGGGAGCUGCCAAGUAUACCAUCCAAUUAUCCACAGCGAUAAUGGAAAUAUAUNNNNNNNNNNNNNNNNNNNNNNNNNNNNNNNNNNNNNNNNNNNNNNNNNNNNNNNNNNNNNNNNNNNNNNNNNNNNNNNNNNNNNNNNNNNNNNNNNNNNNNNNNNNNNNNNNNNNNNNNNNNNNNNNNNNNNNNNNNNNNNNNNNNNNNNNNNNNNNNNNNNNNNNNNNNNNNNNNNNNNNNNNNNNNNNNNNNNNNNNNNNNNNNNNNNNNNNNNNNNNNNNNNNNNNNNNNNNNNNNNNNNNNNNNNNUUAACGCUCAUAUCAGAAACAUUAGUGUCCAAAGAAGCCCGUACACAGAAUCUUGGAUCCUUCACUUGAACCCGAGACCAUGUAACGCCAGUAACUGAAGUUGCAGGAAACAGAACUGAAGAACCCAUAUUGCAAAUCCUGAGCUGAAAUCAAAGAAAUUCAAUUGGAACUCAAUUCAGCUCAACCGAGCGGAGCUCUCUUUUGCUUCAAUAACAAAGUGUUUUUCUUUCAUAUCAACAAAGAUUUGUCAACAUCAACAAAAUUUAACUAAGAAACUAAAAAUAAUGCGGUAUCUUUGAGUUUAAGAAUCUAACAAGAUGCUAAGGAAGAGAGUUUUGUCAGGGAACUGUUUCGGAGAGGUUGGCCAAGUGCAUUUUUGUUUUUUUCUUGUUUUGCCCUUUUCAUUAAUGCACAACAUUAGUCCACGUGAAGAGCACAAAAUGCUGGUGGCUUUGUCACUAACGAUAAUGGAUGGAGUGUCCAAAGCAACCAACUAAAUUUUAAAGAGAGGGAAUGAUAAGUAAUAUCUUAAUGGGGUGAUUAAUUAAUUUAUUAUCAAGCAAUUGUAUUUAUUUAUUUAAAAGAUAUCCUUAUCUUUGUACAAGGUUUGAGGAAAGACGACGAUGUUGUGUUGUCACAUAUUUUUACGUUUCUCCAUAAUUCACUGCAACAUCAACUGGGCCACCACCUCUUGCCUCUCCUGGUUCCCCUCAAUUUUCGUAUUCAAUGUCCACCGUUGAUUGUACAUUUAUUAAAAUUCUGUGGUUAUUGUUUUUUUGCAUACAUUUAAUUCCACACGGUCUAUGGAUAGAGCAGGUGCAUCGUAGUUGUGGCCUUAACUGUUAUUGGUAACUCAAUAGCUAAUUCUAAUGUUUCAUCAAGCAGUUUAGAGAUAACCUCUCUCGCUGAACUCCCCGGAGUAACGCAAUCCAGUUUUCCAGUGCAAUCAUCAGACAGUUGAACAGCUUCUGAAUUCCCUUUGCUUUUCUUGUUUUCUUUUCCAUGUAAAGGGAGCUCAGGCUUCAAUAUAUCUGGGGAUUGAGUUCUAAUGAUAAAGACAACAUACGGUAGAGGACACAAAUUGUUAUUAAAGAAUGACGCACUUUUCAACUGAGUACAGUAAAGCAAGAAUGGGUAAUUAGUUUUACCUGCAACGUGAAAAUCUAGACUCCCGACGGUAACCGAUCUUUGGUGAAGCAAAUAAAGAAGAAGGCGAAGUAAAAUUCACUGAGUUGAAUGAGCGAUCAUUGUGUAUGGACUUGAUUUGUUCAAUAGGUGAAAGACUGCUGAUAUAAUUAAAGACUGGAGAAUCCUGCACGUUGACAAGCAUCAUUUUUAAUAUAACAUAGAGUCUUAAAAACCUAGUCAGUGGCAAAUGAUCACGACAAGCAAAAUGAAGUACAAACAGCAGAGCUCAACAAAUCAUUAAGAGAAAAUAAGACCAUUAACCAAGCAGAUAAAAGAAACGCAAAAUAACCCAUCUCAAAUCACCGCAUGCACAAUUUAAGGGGGCUGUUACAUGGGUUUAAGCAUGAUUUAACAAGUGCCACCAGUGAAUUCUCAAAGAUUGAAUUUUCAUACACAUGCAAAUUUCCAAGUCCAACGAAUUGUUGUCUUUCUGAAGAUAUUAACGAUGCAUAGCAUACUAUAAACAAAUCAUAUUAUUAGGGCCUUUCUUUGCUGUACACAACAUAUGUACAGAGGAACAAAUCCAUGAGCUGAAAUCAUCAUAUUCCAAAAUAUUCUACCCAAUCAACACUACAAAACCCUAACGCUAAACAGAAUUGGAGCAAUUUACGAAAGCUAUUUGUCACACAAAGCGCUAGUACCUCUGAACCCAAUUUGCAGAUGAAAAAUAACAAAUGCCCAAAUGAAAAAAUCAGGAAAAAAAAAUGCUCAAAUUCAAACUACAACCCCAUAAGCUGAGUCGUUCUCUUCAAACUAAAUUUAACACUGAAUAAAAAAAUUAAAAAAUUAAAAUGGGGAGAUUAACCUCAAACUUGGAAACAGAAGCGACAGUGAUCUGUUUCUUAUCUGGAGUGUCCAUUUCUAUAAUCUACUUUGUCCGUUUUCAGUCGCUCCGCCACAAAGCCUCUUCACUCCGAAGCUGAAACUCGCCACACACUUGCAAAACGAAAGCAUUUGAUUGAUUGAGAGCGUUAUUAUUACUAUUUGAAGGACGCGUGUCAUGCAAUGGCGAGACAAAAAGUGGUGCAAAACUCCAAUGGUCACGAAAUGACGAUAAAAUAAAAAUAUAUCGUUAAUUUUUCACUUAACAUUGGAAUAUCAUAUAAUUUUAAGGUCAUUUUCUCGCCGUUACGCCACAUUCUUUUGAUAAAAUAAUAUGGUAAAACUUUUCUAUAAUCAUGAUAUUAGAACCUAAUUAACUUUAUAUCUAUAAAGAGGUUAUAGCUUAAUAAAGCAAAAUUGUAAAAAAUAUUAUUUUGACUUAAUUAUCUAAAGAGUAAAUAUAUGAUAAUUAAUUAAUAAAUAAUGUCAAAUACAAUAUAUGGACUAUAAUAAAAAAGAUAGACAUAAUUUCAUAAAAUUAAUACAUAUGUUUUUGUAGUGUUGCGAUUAUACAAAGUUAUCUUAAAAGUGUAAAGAGUAAAGUAUUAUUCUAAUUAAUUUUAAAAAAUAUUUUAUUAUUAACCUUUAAUGCAACAUAGUAAUUUUUUUUCCCUAGCAACAAAGUAUUGUUCCAAAUAAUUAUUAUUGGAUCUAGAUCCUGCCCUAGGCAUUUUCUCUACUAAUCCUCAUAAACUUUUAGGGUUUGUUUGGCACGUGAGAUUAGAUUGAACAAACUAUUAUGAUUGGACUAAAUUAGAAGGGAUUGGAUUGGAUUGGAUUGGAUUAUAUAUAGUGCUGACUUAUGUUUGGUAUUGUAUUGGAUUAGAUUAUGUUAAAUUAAAUUUACAUAAAAUUAAAUAGUAUUUACAUUAAUAUUUGAAUUUAAAUAUAAACUAUUUAUAGAUAUUUAACAAGAAAUAUUGUAAUUAAUUAAAAAUAGCAAUUGGGUAGUAUAAUAAAGAAAUAUAAAUUAUUUAAAUUAUAGGUUAUUUCAAAGAGUGAUGAAACAACCACAAAUUCUUGUACAAACUGAUCUUAUACAAACUGAUUUGGCAUUAAUUCAUUGAAUGAAAAUAUAAAAUAAUAAAAAUAAAUCAUGUGGGCCCAAGAUAUAUUUAAUUCAACCAAUUUUAUCAUGACACAUCAAUUUGUACAAGAAUUUGUGACUAUAUUAUUACUCUAUUUUAAAUAUGAGAGAUAUCAUUUCAUUGAAUAAAAUAAAUAAAAUUAUUCAAAUAAUAAAUUAAUUAAUAAAAUUUAAGUAAAUCAUGAAUAAAAAAGAAAUUAAUUAAUUAAAAACAGUAAAUAAUUAAAUAAUUUUUAAUUUAUAAAUAAAAUGGUAUAAUAAAUUAUGGAAGAUACUAUAAAUACACAAAUAUUUUUUUCACAUUAUCUAGUUCUAACUAAACACACAUAAAAAUUAGGAUUAGCAAUCCCAUGAAUUUAGGAUUAAAAUUUGAAUUUAGUCCCAAUUCUGAGUACACAUUAAGGCCUCUACUGUACUCGGAUGAAGUCUACUACGAUGUGGGCUUAAACAUCGACCUCCCGCACUAAAAGCAGAUUCGGAAGCAACUGUGGAGACCGGAACAGCCAGCAAAUCUCUAGCAAUCUCAGACAAUAUCGGAUAUCUACUUCUAUUCACCUUCCACCACAUUAAAAUAUCGAAGUCUGGAGUAGUCUUAUCCUCUUCUUCCAAGUAAGUAUCUAACUCCGACUUAACUCGUUUACGAAUAUGUUGGCUUUUGAAUGCAUUAAAUUUUUGCACAUCCCACAUACCCAUCACAACUUGCAAAACGAAAGCAUUUGAUUGAUUGAGAGGCGGGAAGGCGGGAAAACGAGAGAGAUUUGCUUUUGUUUUUUCUUCGUUUGGUCAUACAUGUGGCCCCCCAGGUUGACAAGCGUUAUUACUACUACUUGCAUUAUUUGAAGGACGCGUGUCAUGCAACGAUGAUGGAAAAAGUGGUGCAAAACUUCAAUGGUCACGAAAUGACGAUAAAACAAAAAUAUAUGGUUAAUUUUUCACUUAACAUUGGAAUAUCAUAUAAUUUUAUGGUCAUUUUCUCGCCGUUACGCCACAUUCUUUUAAUAAAAUAAUACGGUUAAACUUUUCUAUAAUCAUGAUAUUAGAACCCAAUUAGCUUUAUUUCUAUAAAGUGGUUAUAGCUUAAUAAAGGUAAAAUUAUAAAAACUAUUAGUAGUCUUAAGUGAUCAAGAAAUAACCAUACCACCAAUUUCACCACCCUUAUUCACAAAUGUAUGAGUAUGAUCCUUCAUGAGUAAAUUUUUUUGUGUCCGCACUGACCUGUAGACAUCCAUGAAAAACCAUCAGAUUAUAAACACAGGGUCAAUUUAAAGAGGAGCUAUGAUUCUGAUCCAUCAUGAUAUUUGAAGAACAUUUUCAUAUUUUCCUACAACGAUAGAGUAAGUCGAGUACUUGACAAUCAAAGUAAUUUACUCGAGGUUGAGUAAGGAUAGUACAAUACUUUCUCAAGUUUUCUGAGGACAUUCACGUGACAUUGGACUAUUGACUAUACUUAGAGAGAAGUCCAAGGAUGUAAGUGAUGAUGAUAGAUUCAGAAUUCUUUUGAUGAAAAUAUUUUAUAUAAACUUAAUUAUAUGGCAUAAAAUGAUUGGCCUUAAUAAAAUUAAAAAAUAAUAAAAUUAAAAAAUAAUAAAAAUAAUACACGCCUGGGUCAUGCAAUAUUUUCAACCAACUAAUUUACACGCAAAAUUAAAUUUUAUGAGUACAUUUAUUUGCUAGCAGAAACACUGCCAAAUUUUCCGAAAUGUGAAAGUGAACACUUUUUACAGCGGCACAAAAUGCCUGUGAUAAUGAAACAAUGUACCAUCCUUAAACUAAUAUUAUUAGAAACUAUAAGUGAAUGUUUUCAGAAAACAUGUGAUAAGUUUUUCUUGGAAUUUGUUUUCUCCUUUGUUUUGAUUUACGCGAGAGAUAGUUCUAAAGAUUGUUUUGAUAAGUUUUCAGAAAACAUGUGACGAAUCGUAGUAAAAAAUUUAUAUAUAAUAAUUGAAUGAGAUCCAUGGUUCACAAUUGCAAAUUAAAGGUUGGUUUUAUAAUAAAAAUCGUUUUGUGCAUACCAAAUUAGAAAAGAUUAUAAGUAAAUUAAGAUUUUCAAAAUUUGCCUAGUAUUAUAUUAUCGUACAUCAAUAUAAUAUAAAUUUGUUAUAUUUAUAUAUGUUAUUCUGUAACUAAUGCUUUCAAAAAUUUUAUACUUGUAUGUUUGAACAACUUUUUUUCGCUUUCUAUUUAUAUACGAUAUUAUUUAUGUUUACAUAAAUUUUCAUAUGUACCCAAAUUAAGUAUUAAAUACACACACUCUGGUAAGACACAUUUCUAGUAUCAGACAAUGAUAUUAUAUUGAAUGUAAUGCUUCAAUGAAUUUUAUUACUAUAUACUAAAAUACUCAACGAUCUUCAUUAAAAAAAAAAAAAAGAAAUUGCAUGAUUAGAAUGAUUAAAGUUCAUUUAAUGACGAGUUUCAUCAUUGACUGUGUCGAAACAGAACAGCAAUCCACAAUACACUCAACACGAGAGGCGCACACAAGCAUGCAUGAAUCUUCCACCAUUAAACCUGAAAUCAUAGCAUGAUUAGAAUGAUUAAAGAUCAUUUGAUGAGGAGUUUCAUCAUUAACUGUGUCGAAACACAGCAGCAAUCCACAAUACACUUAACACGAGAGGGGCACACAAGCAUGCAUGAAUCUUCCACCAUUAAACCUGAAAUCAUAAAAUAAAAGAAACAAGAUGAGUGUUGUUUUACGGUCUGAAAGCCGAUUCCAAAUAAUAAUAAUAAUAAUAGUAAUAGUAAUAGUAAUAAACCUUUGUUAAUAAUUACUACUAGUUGUCUCUACCUUUUGCAUCUUCCUCCUUUGUAUCAUCGUCCUCUUCCAAUCACACGGCUGGACCAGUAUGUCUCGAGAAUCUCUACUGCCUUCUCAGAGAUGCCGUUGUCGUCAUGACUUCGUAGAUUUUCAAUCUUUUCUAAUCCCUCAGCCUCCUCAACCAGCUGGGCAUAUUGAUUAAAAUCUCCAACGGCGGUACCCGUAUUCAUUUCAGCUACCCCGACCUUCAAAAUGUUCUCUAAUCCUUCUAAGCAAACAGUGACGAUCUUUGGAUCAGCGCAUAGAAGCAGAUCACACAAUGGUUUUACACACCCCUCUCUCACGAGGUAUUUGAUUUGCUCAUGAGUGCCAAACUUGGUGGCAUUUGAAAUUGCCCAAGCGGCCUCCUUCUCUGUAUCAAAUUCAGCAUUUUGAAGCAGAUUGACAAUGGGACCAAUUAAGCCGGCAUCACUUACCGCCUGAAUCUGCUCCCUGUUUCCAGCUGUAAUAUUUGAAAUAAUCCAGCUGACUUCGUUCUUGAUGCUCUCUCCAUGAUUAUGGACCAACAUGUCCCAAAAGUAUGGCAGUGCACCACAGUUAAUUAUACACUGAAUCUGGAAUUCAUCCCCCGUCACAAUAUUUCCAAUAGUCCGCAGGGCAGGAGUGAGCACCGAGGGUGAUGGAUGGCCAAGGAGCUCAACAAGUCGUGGACAGACACCUGCCUCGAUCACAGCUUGAAUUUUGUCAUUUCGUACCAUCAGAAAGAUAGGAGAGUGUCCAACAGGCGUCACUCAACACCUCUUCAUCAUCUAAAUGAAUAAGCUGUGCAAGUGCCGGAAGAGCUGCCCUUACCUGAUCAAAUGGUGGUUCUGGCUUGCCCUUGCAUAAAUUAGACAAUGUCCUUGCGGCAAUUCUCAGCAUUGAAAGCUUAGCAUGCUCAUUUAACUCUGCCAGCAAUGGAAUCAAAGCUCCUUCACCAAGCACUAGAUCACGGCAUCCAGAUGAGUCACCAGCAACAUUUCCCAAUGCCCAAACAGCCUGCUCGCGGACAUCAUCAUUUGGGGAAGCAAGCAGCUUCACAAAUAUUGGAACGGCACCGUGGUCAAUCACCACCUUAAUGUUCUCUGAAGUUCCAGAAGCAAUGUUUGAAAGAGCCCAAGCAGCCUCAUACUGAAGUUGCGGAUAGUCUUCCCUCAUAAGAAACUCAACAAAGCGCGGGACAACGCCAGAUUGUAUGACUUUAUCAAUUUGUGGACUCCUCUCAAUCGAAAGCAGUUUGCUGAACUGAGUAGUUGCUUCCAGCUGCAAGCCGCUGUCAUCUGACCAAACCCCAGCAACCAUCCCGGGUAAACUCGCCUACUUAUUUUAGGAGCAGGAGCAAGAGGAGGAAAUUAAGUUAGGGAUUUGGAGUGAGAGUGAAAGUGGAGAAAAAGCAAGAGAGGGAAAAAGCUAAUUGUUGAGAAAUAUAUACCUUUCGUAUGGUUGUGUUAAGGUCGUCCUUCCAAUCCCAACAUGCUUCACCCAGCCGCUGCACUUUGUGUAAUUUGGGUGUACUUAAUUUUCCUUCAGAGAAAAUCUUCAUACUGGGGCAAUCAUCCACCACUAAUCUUUCCAAAGAUAGGAAAUUGAAAGCACAAUUGCCAGGGCAGAAGCUUGUCAGACUUUUUAAGUGUAAAAGCUUCAACUCCUUCAAUUCUCUGAAAGUAAUAACCUCAUCUUGUGCUACAACAUCAUCCCCAAGUACUAUUUCUGCUAUCUUAUCGCAUGAUUCUAUCUCCAUAUAUCUAAGUCGCACCAGAGUCUUUGCAAUUGAGGAUGUUAAUACGAUUUUCAAUCUUUCGCAACACGAUACCACCAUAUUUGUAAGAUUCUGAAAGGAUGACGACGAUGGCACUAGAUUGACCAAAUGGUGACACCCAAUUACACGUAGAAUAACCAAGUUGUUCGUAACAGAAGACUCCUCCAUCAAAAUGUGCUCCAGUUGAUAUUUUGCUUCUCUUAUUUCUACCCUCAUCCCAUUUUCAACAUUCUCUUCCGGCAACCAAGCACCAUAUCCUCCUAUUUGGAGUACUUUCAUUGUGUGAAGUCUCUGGAGGAAGUCACCAAGUGAUAAAAUAGUCCGCUCAUCAACCAACUCCACGUAAAGAUAUUUUAGUUUGCAAAGCAAGUCUUCAGAAAAUAGAUAUUUAUUUGUUACUACGUGCUUUGCAUCAACUUUCAACUUUUCCAAAUUAGGGAAUACCUGGGAGAUUGUAGCAGUAAACACAUUUCGUUCAGUAGAUGCAAUUGAUACGGCAACAUCGCGAACUACAUCAUGCAUAGAAAACAACUCUUUCUUCUGGCUUAUAUGGUCAAGCAACAUACAAGAAGCUUUGAGUGUGCGCACCAAUGUAUGUACUCGAUUUCGUGCUACUUCAAUCUUAUUCACACCUUGAAAUAAACCCAAUCCCAUACCACACAUUAACAAGUCAUGAAUAGAUGAUAUGGCUGUAUAUCCUAUUAGCAAAAAGAUGUUCUUGAGAUCAUCCCUUUUUAGUUUAUUGUAGCUCAACUCGAUAGCUUUAUAUGCACCAUACUCUUAUGCCUUUGUCCUCCAAUCAACCAUAAGACAAAUUAUUAUUGAGUGUGAGCAGACAUUAACCACCAAAUUUUCAAACUUGUGAUCCCUACUGAAUCUGCAUUCCCCUUUACAAAAGUAAAAAAAAAAAGGGCAAAUAACGAAACAAAAUUCUGUUCCUUGACUGCAAGUGCUGUCGGCAUUUUCAGACUUGGAAGACCCUUCUACUUGCAAGAUACCACUGAAUUUGUCUUUUUUUUUUAAUUACACUGUAUUAUCUUAUAUUUUAUAAAAAAAUUUAAUAAAUAUUAUAAAUUAUAAAUUUCUGCUGUACCGUACAUCCGCCUUGGCCGUACAGCAGCUUCUCUUUCUUCAGUCGAUCAUAGAGUCUUCUUGCCCUACCCGAUUCACUCUCCUCAUCAAAUUUUAGACCUAGUUUAUCCGCGAUUUCUCCUUGAAGCUUUCUUACGUCUCGACUCUCAGACACCUCAGAAAAAACCACCUGAUCGAAAAGCUUGUCACUCUCUGCUUUUCUAGCAACUUCUUUAGCUAGCGUCGUCUUUCCGAUUCCGCCCAUUCCAUAAAUCAAAAGCAUGUUGACAUUGGGAUUUUUUAAUGCAUCAAUUAUUUCAUUCAGAAUGGACGUUCUUGAUUCAAAGGCCUCGAAGUCUUUGUUAGGCAUAAGCAAGGUAUCCUCCGGAAUGAUGCUGUAGGAAAUACUAUUAACUGGUCUAGCGUCCCGGACUUUGACAACAGCCUCCUUCUGCCUCUCUGCUUCCUUGCUAAGUCGAGGGCGGGUCUUCAAAUUAGGACAUAACCCCUUGAAACAACGCUUAUUUGCAGUGGCUUCAUCUUCUGUAAAUUUAUCUGCCUCUUCAAUGACACUGUUGGCCGUUGCAAGCCAAUUCUCAACGUUCUCUUCAAUCUCUUCUCCUUUUCUUUUAGCCUCAUCAACCUGGUGCUCUGUACUCACCCUCUCAGACUUUAGUUUCGCAACUUCAGUGUUGAGAUUCUGUAAGUUGCUCGUGUACUUACUCUCACGCAAAUAGCUAAUUUGGCGAUAUGCGGGAGGAGCCAAGCACUUUACAACUUCUAAAACAAUAGUAAGAAUGAUUUCAGCCAUCUUCAGUCCUUUGUCCUUGUCUCUCUAUCUCUCUUUUUCUGAAUUUUGGAAAAACAAUUCAACAGGUGACCACAACAAGAUGGAACACAAGUGACUACAACAAGAUGGAACAAAAUAAAAAGGAAAAAAAUACAAAGAGUGGAUGGAGAAUAAAACAGAGACAGCGGCACAGCUGGACACAACUAGAUAGAGAACAGAGCAAAACCAAAUAACAAGACUUAAGAUUACAACAAACAGAGGCCAAGUAUUGUUGAGAUCAGAAGAUGGAAAAUUCAAAAGAGUUGAUGGCAGAUGCUGAAUAACAGAACAACAAUGAAAGCAAUAAACAGAAGCAAAGUGUGUUUGUGAUCGACAGACGGAAGUAACGAAAGCGGUUGUUGAUUGAAAAUGAAUGAAUGGCCGGUAAACCGGUAUCCGUUGGAUUAGCAUAUAGAAAUCCAACGGUGGAUAUAUAUACUUGGAGAAUAAAAU